GUGAGGAAUUUUCCGCAAUGGGCGAAAGCCUGACGGAGCAAUGCCGCGUGAAGGAUGAAGGCCUAUGGGUUGUAAACUUCUUUUCUCAGAAAAGAAUUAUGACGGUAUCUGAGGAAUAAGCAUCGGCUAACUCUGUGCCAGCAGCCGCGGUAAGACAGAGGAUGCAAGCGUUAUCCGGAAUGAUUGGGCGUAAAGCGUCUGUAGGUUGUUUAAAAAGUAUUCUGUCAAAGAUUAGGGCUUAACCCUAGAUAGGCAGAAUAAACUUUUAAGCUAGAGUUUGGUAGAGGCAGAGGGAAUUCCCGGUGGAGCGGUGAAAUGCGUAGAUAUCGGGAGGAACACCAAAGGCGAAGGCACUCUGCUGGGCCAAUACUAACACUGAGAGACGAAAGCGAGGGGAGCAAAUGCGAUUAGAUACCCGGGUAGUCC
rnacentral:rRNA from 1 species